rnacentral:rRNA from 1 species
CAAUACUGAGUGGCAAACGGGUGAGUAUAAUGUGGGUAUCUGCCUUUUGGUUUGGAAUAACACGAGGAAACUUGUGCUAAUACCGGAUAAGCCCUUACGGGGAAAGUUUUAACGCCGAAAGAUGAGCCCGCACUUGAUUAGCUAGUUGGUAAGGUAAUAGCUUACCAAGGCUACGAUCAAUAGCUGAUCUGAGAGGAUGAUCAGCCACAUUGGGACUGAGACACGGCCCAAACUCAUACGGGAGGCAGCAGUGGGGAAUCUUGCACAAUGGGGGAAACCCUGAUGCAGCGAUGCCGCGUGAGUGAAGAAGGCCUUUGGGUUGUAAAGCUCUUUCGUCGGGGAAGAAAAUGACUGUACCCGAAUAAGAAGGUCCGGCUAACUUCGUGCCAGCAGCCGCGGUAAUACGAAGGGACCUAGCGUAGUUCGGAAUUACUGGGCUUAAAGAGCUCGUAGGUGGUUAGAAAAGUUAAUGGUGAAAUCCCAAGGCUUAACCUUGGAACUGCCAUUAAAACUUUUUAACUAGAGUAUGAUAGAGGUAAGCGGAAUUUCUAGUGUAGAGGUGAAAUUCGUAGAUAUUAGAAAGAACACCAAUUGCGAAGGCAGCUUUCUGGAUCAUUACUGACACUGAGGAGCGAAAGCAUGGGUAGCGAAGAGGAUUAGAUACCCUCGUAGUCCAUGCCGUAAACGAUGUGUGCUAGACGUUGGAAAUUUAUUUUUCAGUGUCGCAGCAAAAGCGUUAA